rnacentral:rRNA from 1 species
CAGUCGCCGCGGGAAUACGUAGGGUGCGAGCGUUAAUCGGAAUUACUGGGCGUAAAGCGUGCGCAGGCGGUUCGUUAAGACAGAUGUGAAAUCCCCGGGCUUAACCUGGGAACUGCAUUUGUGACUGGCGAGCUAGAGUAUGGCAGAGGGGGGUAGAAUUCCACGUGUAGCAGUGAAAUGCGUAGAGAUGUGGAGGAAUACCGAUGGCGAAGGCGGCCCCCUGGGCCAAUACUGACGCUCAUGCACGAAAGCGUGGGGAGCAAACAGGAUUAGAUACCCCAGUAGUCCCUGUCUCUUAUAC